rnacentral:tRNA from 4 species
GCUGAUUUGGCCGAGUGGUCUAAGGCGGUGGUUUUAAGCACCAUUAUCGAGAGAUGCGUGAGUUCGAACCUCACAGUCAGCA